CCCGGCCCUUCCAGUGGUUUCUGUUGACUUCUACCCACAACACCUCGCCUGUGACCCAAGCCAUCUGGACAGAAGUGAUCCUAGAUCAGGAAAUUGAAGGCCAGAAGGGUAAAGUGGUUUGCCCAAGGCCAUGGGGCUGGUGUGUGGCUGAGUUGUGGCUUGAGCUAAGGGCUUUUAAGAGUUGGCAGUCAGUAUUCCGAGAGGGAGAUGUAGGUGGAGACAGGAGAUGAAGCUGAAAGAUGAGAGACAGUCAGCCAGAGAGAAUGGAAGGAAAGAACAGGAAAGCAGAGAGAGGAGUGUCUGCCAGUCCCAGGAUACCACGGCUAUAUCAGCUUUCUAUUACUACCUAACAAAUGAUCACAAACUUUGAUACUCUAAGUC
rnacentral:lncRNA from 1 species